rnacentral:tRNA from 1 species
AUUUAAAUAUCUUAUAUUAAAGUUUAAUAUUGAAAAUAUUAAGAUGAUAAAUUUAUUUAUCUUUAAUUU